rnacentral:rRNA from 1 species
CCUUCGGGGCCCCGGUAAAGUGGCGCACGGGUGAGUAACACGUGGGUAACCUACCCCCGGGCGGGGGAUAACGUUCCGAAAGGAGCGCUAAUACCGCAUGAGACCACGGCCUGAAACGGCUGAGGUCAAAGCAGGCCUCUGCAUGCAAGCUUGCACCUGGGGAUGGGCCCGCGGCCCAUCAGGUAGUUGGCAGGGUAACGGCCUACCAAGCCUAAGACGGGUAGCUGGUCUGAGAGGAUGAUCAGCCACACUGGAACUGAGACACGGUCCAGACUCCUACGGGAGGCAGCAGUGGGGAAUCUUGCGCAAUGGGCGAAAGCCUGACGCAGCGACGCCGCGUGAGUGAUGAAGGCCCUAGGGUUGUAAAGCUCUGUGGAGAGGGACGAAUAAGCGCCGGCGAAUAUCCGGCGUGAUGACGGUACCUUUUUAGCAAGCACCGGCUAACUCUGUGCCAGCAGCCGCGGUAAGACAGAGGGUGCAAACGUUGUUCGGAAUUACUGGGCGUAAAGCGCGUGUAGGCUGUCAUGCAAGUCGGGUGUGAAAGCCCAGGGCUCAACCCUGGAAGUGCACUCGAAACUGCAAGACUUGAGUCUCGGAGAGGAAAGCGGAAUUCUGGGUGUAGAGGUGAAAUUCGUAGAUAUCCAGAGGAACACCGGUGGCGAAGGCGGCUUUCUGGACGAGUUCUGACGCUGA